rnacentral:rRNA from 1 species
CAACUUUUGACGGKGGAUCUCUUGGCUCACGCAUCGAUGAARAACGCAGCCAGCUGCGAUAAGUAGUGUGAAUUGCAGAAUUCAGUGAAUCAUCGAAUCUUUGAACGCAAAUGGCGCUCUUGGGUUCUCCCAGGAGCAUGUCUGUYUGAGUGUCGGAU